CUACGGGACGCACCAGUGAGGAAUAUUGCACAAUGGGGGGAACCCUGAUGCAGCAACGCCGCGUGGAGGAUGACGCAUUUCGGUGUGUAAACUCCUUUUAUAUGUCAAGAAAAUGACGGUAGCAUAUGAAUAAGCACCGGCUAACUCCGUGCCAGCAGCCGCGGUAAUACGGAGGGUGCAAGCGUUACUCGGAAUCACUGGGCGUAAAGGACGCGUAGGCGGGUUGGAAAGUCAGGUGUGAAAUCCUACAGCUUAACUGUAGAACUGCACUUGAAACUUCUAAUCUAGAGUAUGGGAGGGGGAGAUGGAAUUAGUGGUGUAGGGAUAAAAUCCGUAGAUAUCACUAGGAAUACCUAAAGCGAAGGCGAUCUCCUGGAACAUUACUGACGCUAAGGCGUGAAAGCGUGGGGAGCAAACAGGAUUAGAUACCCGUGUAGUC
rnacentral:rRNA from 1 species